rnacentral:rRNA from 1 species
UACAGAGGUCUCAAGCGUUGUUCGGAUUCAUUGGGCGUAAAGGGUGCGUAGGUGGCUGGGUAAGUUUGAGGUGAAAGCUCCGGGCUCAACCCGGAAAUUGCCUUGAAUACUAUUCGGCUAGAGGGUUGGAGGGGAGACUGGAAUUCUCGGUGUAGCAGUGAAAUGCGUAGAUAUCGAGAGGAACACCAGUGGCGAAGGCGAGUCUCUGGACAACAUCUGACACUGAGGCACGAAAGCCAAGGGAGCAAACGGG